UUCAAAUGGUUUUGCCAGAUAAAGGAUACACAAAAUAGAUUGAAGAUAUUAAGGAGAAUGACUGUGUCGGGGAUUUCCUUAUGGAAUAUAAAUAUGAAAAGUUAAAUUGAAAUCUACAUUCACGUGGAGAACUCUGGAGAAAUUCUCACCUAAGGGUCCUCUGAAGAAUCUAGGAUCACAUGAACUGGGUUAAAUCAUGAGUUCCUCACCUUGAUCAGAUUCUCUCCGGUCA